CCCUUUUAUCUUUACACACUUUGUCCAGCUUCAAGCAGCCUUGAGUUUCUGUUGCCAUCUCCGCCCUCGAGUCUGCCUUUCGUCCUCCUUUGCUUCCGCUCCUCUCCAAAUUCCACCACCACCAGCCGCCGUGCAUAUGAUGUGAAAGCCUCCUCGUCCUCUUUGCCCUUUUAAUUUUCCUUCUCCUUCUCUUGAAUUACUGCCACCCAAUUGCUGUUUAGUGAAGGGUCUUCAAAGAGAGAAUUUUGGGUUAAAGGUUGAUUUGUUAUGGCUGUCUUUCUGUGCAAUUCCCAAGUCGACUUCAAUAGCUGAAUUGGAAAGGUGAGUUCUGAAAUUUCUCAUUCGACCACCACUCAGCAUCCACUUGGUAUUAUGCUAAAAAGAUCAAAACAUUUGCCUCAUCCUUGUCGAAAAACCCAAUCUUUACCCUUCAAGAAUGUAGCUUCUGCAAUUUUGAUUAGUGGGAUUUGCAGUAAUAGUACCAAUAAUAUUGUCAAAGCUGCAGCUUCAGAAUCUGAAAAUGAAUGGGAAAGUUUGCUCAAACCAUUUGACCUCAAACAGCUUAAGAAAGUACUCAAUAAAAUUACCCCUUAUCAGCUUAGCAAGUUUCUGGCUCUUCCUUUGGAUGUGCCUACAUCCUUGGAGCUAUUUCGGAAGGCUAGUGCCCAGAAAGGCUAUUGUCACACUUUUGAUGUGUACUAUACUUUGAUUGAUAAACUUGGUGCUGCUAAGGAGUUUAAGGCUUUAGAUAAACUGUUAUUGCAGAUGAAGGAGGAUGGGAUAGUUUUCAGGGAGUCCCUCUUCAUUAUGAUCAUGAAGCAUUACGGUAGAGCUGGUUUACCUGGUCAAGCCACUAGGUUGCUUUUGGAUAUGAGGAAGAUAUUUUCUUGCGAACCAACGUUUAAAUCGUAUAGUGCUGUGUUGGGAAUUCUAGUGGAUGGUAAUUGUCCUAAAGUUGCUGUUAAUGUCUUUUAUGAAAUGCUUAACAAAGGUGUCUCCCCUAGCGUUUCAUGUUUCGCCAGAGUAAUAAAAGCGCUAUGCAUGAUUAAUGAAGUGGAUUCUGGGCGUUCACUUCUGAGAGACAUGACGAAACAUGGGUGUGUGCCCAAUUCUAUAAUUUACCAGACAUUGAUUCAUGCACUUUCCAAGGCCAAUAGAGUAGAUGAUGCCUUGAGGCUUUUGGAGGAGAUGUUUCUUAUGGGUUGUAUACCAGAUACCAAUACUUUCAAUGAUGUUGUAACUGGCCUUUGCCAUUCCAGUCGAAUUCAUGAGGCUGCCAAAUUGGUUGAUCGAAUGCUUGCUCGGGGUUUUGCCCCUGAUGCUAUAACAUAUGGAGUUUUGAUGCAUGGUUUUUGCAGAACAGAUCAAAUAGAUGAAGCCAGGGCCCUGCUAUACAGAGUGCCCAAUCCCAAUAUUGUUCUGUUUAACAUUUUGAUCAAGGGAUUUGUGACCUCUGGUCGUUUUGAUGAAGCAACAGCUCUUAUGAGGGAGGGCCUGAUGAAUGUUGGCUUGCAGCCGGAUAUUUAUACAUAUAACAUCUUGAUUCAUGGCCUUUGCGAAAAGGGUUGUUUGGUGUCAGCUUGUGAAGUUCUUGAGGAGAUGUCAAUCAAGGGUUGUAAGCCCAAUGUGAUCACAUAUACUAUUCUGAUUGAAGGAUACUGUAAUGAAGGACGUUUAGAGGAGGCUAAUGAACUUUUGAUUGAGAUGUCAUCCCAAGGUCUUAGUUUAAAUGUGGUCGGAUAUAACUGUCUUGUCUCUGCUUUGUGCAAGGAUGGAAAGAUCCAGGAGGCAUUAGAAACUUUUGGUGAUAUGUCAAGAAAUGGAUGUAAACCAGAUAUAUUUACAUUCAACUCUUUAAUAUUUGGGUUUUGCGUGGUUGAUAAGAUGGAAGAGGCACUUAGCAUGUAUCGUGAUAUGUUGCUUGAGGGGGUUAUUGCCAAUACUGUUACCUACAACACAUUGAUACAUGCUUUCCUGAAAAAAGGUGCAAUCCACGAGGCCCUUAAGCUUGUAGAUGAUAUGUUGUUUAGAGGAUGUGCCCCUGAUGAGUACACAUAUAGUAGCCUUCUACAUGCACUGUGCAAAGAUGGUGCUGUUGAGAAAGCAUUGGGACUUUUUGAGGAAAUUUUGAGAAAGGGAGUCUACCCUAAUAACAUAUCCUGCAACAUUUUAAUCAAUGGCUUGUGCAAAAUUGGCAAGGGUUCGAAACCUGCACUUCUUCAAAUUAUAACUAUAUAAAAAACAUCAUGGUUUGCCACCAUAACAUGGACUGAUUAUACGUGAGUGGCCGGUGCAAGAAGGUCUGUUGGAACUGCUGACUGAUUGCUGCUUUUGAGAGAGCUUGCUUACCAGAUCAGUUAGGCCAAAGAGUUUUGUGCGAACUACAGAUUCUGGAGAUUUACCCGGAUACUUAAACUCUGUGGGCUGGUCUCCUUUGAUCAAUACUAGAUCAAUGCUAGAUGGUUGAAAGCAGUUAAGAGUUAUCCAUGUUUCCAGCAAUACUUGGUCUUCCUACAACUGAUCUGAAAUUAAACUGAAGAAUGGCAAACCAAACUUAUAACCGGGAUUCAGGGAAUCAGAUUUGCGUGCGUGUUGACUGAACUAUAAUUACGUUAAGGUGCAAGAAAAGCAGCUAGACUUAUUUCUCUGAACGAGAAGACUCAGUUAGAGACAUGAUGAAGAAUCCACUGUGUUUGGUCCAGUUCCACAGUUUCCACUUUCUCCCCCACUCUGUCUGUCAUCAACUAUUAUCCAUAAAUCACUCACGAACAAACUGUUUAAAGUUCAUCGCCUAAUUCUCCACAAAGCUUUCAGAUCACAAAUCCUCCUCUUCUUCCAUUCGUAACUGCUUGAUGUAUCAGCUGUGCUAUUGGUUGUCAUCAACUAUCGUGCCAAUUGGUUGAAUUUGAAGGCCAAAGGUUGUCUAUUGAUUAAGUAUGGGAGAGCUUUGGUUAUGUUAAACUGGAGCAUUGAAGCUUAAUAUGGAAACAGAUGAGCACCGGAAAAAUGUACCUUGGGAAACUUGGCAGGUGAAGGAAGUUCAUCAUCAUAUAAUUCAGAAGAGAAAAACUGUCUCUUCAAUGGAUACUCUACUUGGCAACAAACCUCUCACGGAGAAAUAUCUGACAGUCAAACUAAUGAGUGCCAAACAUCAUCCAAUCAGAAUCAAGCUAAUUGGGAGUGAAUCCCUGAGGAAUCAUCUUCAAACUGGAUACCUGCAGAAUUUACUUCAAAUUGGAUACCCAAUGAAAUAAUCUCAAAUCAAUUCCAAGCAAUUGAUGAGACUUCAACAAUAAACUAGAUUCAGGAAAUUGAAGAAAAAGAAAAUCCAUUUCUAAUUCCUAGAGAUCCAACUCAACCUUUCCAGAUCAAACUCAAGGAGGAUGCAUUCUCACAUCUCUGGAUGGAAUAUCAUUAUCUCGAAAAUGAGAGAAAAGAAUCUAGAAUCAGAAACUUUGAUAUCAUAUACUUCAACAGGGAUACUGGUGAAAGAAUCCCUUGCUACAACAUCCACAGGUAUAAUCACAUCGAAUUAGUAAACUCAAACUAUUCAAUACAAACAUUAAAAGAACAAUGCUUCAUAUAAAGAAGAAACAUUCAAAGGAUGAUUCUCAACAAAUAUCUACUUGAAAAACAAGGGAUCAAUGCACGAUAUUACAAACAAUGGAUCAAAGAAGCAUCAGAAGAAUUAUCAGUAAUGAUUUGCUGAACAAAUGUUUCCAGAAAUAUUCAAGUUGGCUCAAUCGAAACAAAAUUCAGAAAAAAUCGUUUUACUGUAGCACCGGAAGUACUGUAGCUGUCCGGUAGGUUAUUGUGCAUGCACGGCAACAAAAAGACAAACAAUGCAUUGUAGCGCGUACUGUAGCGGCACUAUAGCAAUAGUAAAAUCACUGUAGCGGGUACUUAAACCAGGAAAGUAAAGAAAAUUAAAGAAAUAAAAAGCAUAAGAGUAAGGAAAUGAGUCGCAGUCAGACUACCACUAGUUAGUAUAGGCGGUUGAACCAGCCAUGUAUAGACAAAGUAAAUAAUAGAAUAUAAAAGUUAAUAAGUUAGUUCAGGUGGUAUAACCGACCAUUGAUUGUUAGUAUAAUUAAAACAAAUAAAAACAAGUAAAUGAAUAUGAAUGUAGGUGGCUCAGCCAACCAUUUGAUUGAAUGAUAUUGAAUAUAAGAAUACAAAAGAAAA